CUGGUCCUUGAAGGGGUCACGUGCACGCUCUGUUUACACAUCCACUCACACCUGUGCACCCUUGUAGUUCUAUGGCCUGGGGACUCUGUCCUCUUGCCGUGGUCCUACGUCUUUACACACACACCGUAACAAAGUAUCAUGGAAUGUAUGCCGCGUCUAACGCAAUACAAUACAACUUUCAGCAACGGAUCUCUUGGCUCUCGCAUCGAUGAAGAACGCAGCGAAAUGCGAUAAGUAAUGUGAAUUGCAGAAUUCAGUGAAUCAUCGAAUCUUUGAACGCACCUUGCGCCCUUUGGCUAUUCCGAAGGGCAUGCCUGUUUGAGUAUCAUGAACACCUCAACUCUCAUGGUUCGCCAUGAUGAGCUUGGACUUUGGGGGUCUUGCUGGCGUAACUGCCAGCUCCUCUCAAAUGAAUCAGCUUCCCAGUGUUUGGUGGCGUCACAGGUGUGAUAACUAUCUACGCUUGUGGUCUUCCAUCAGGUUACCUUCAGUAAUGGAGGUUCACUGGAGCUCACAGACGUCUCUCCUCAGGGAGGACAAGCUUCUUAACGUUUGAUCUCAAAUCAGGUAGGACUACCCGCUGAACUUAAGCAUAU
rnacentral:rRNA from 1 species